AUAAUUAUCUGGCAGGAGACAUAAUCAUAAUCACGAAGGUGAUUUUCCCAGAGCGAGGCUUAUCGAUUACUCUCCCGAUGUGCUGACCCCUGCGAUUUCUGCUAAUGUGGGAAACCCAUCUGCAUGAUUUGUGUAGUGGGCGACUGCGUCCACAUUCUCCCC
ensembl:snRNA U1 U1 spliceosomal RNA